rnacentral:lncRNA from 1 species
GGCCCUGGCCGGCAAGACCCCAGUCCCGAGCGCGCCAGCAGCACCAGCGCCAGAAGAUUGCCCAGAAGCCCCGCACCGAAGAGCACAGCGCCCAUCGUCGCCGAGGAGCCCCUUUCCACCCAGGUGACCUCUUCUACCUGUGAUGAUGACACUGCAGUUCACUCCCCAGGCCAGAGAUCAAGCUGCCACCUGGGAGGCCUGGUGCUACCUUGGAAAACCAGACAGGAGCAUGUUGUUCUCUGAGAGGCUCCACCCAGCAGCUGACUCAAACAGAUACAGAUACCCACAGCCAAACAGUGGAUGGAGCUUGUGGACUCUUAAGAAGAAUAGGAGGAAGGAUUUCAGGGCCCAAAGGGGAUAGGAACUCCACAAGAAGACUAACAGAGUCAACUCACCUGGACCCUUGGGUCUCUCAGAGUCUGAACCAUCAACCAAAGAACAUAGACAGGCUGCACCUAGGCCUCCCAGAUGUGUAGCAGAUGUGCAGCUUGGUCUUCAUGUGAGUCCUAAAAAAUCUGGAGUAUUAGCUAUCCCAAAAGUUGUUGCUAGUAAGUGAGAUAUGUUCUACUAGCUAAGCUGCCUUGUCUGGCCUCAAAGAGACUUGCAGUGCCAGGGUAGGGGGCAUACACAGGCUCUCCCUCCACUCUGAGAAGAAGGGGAGGGGGAGGGAUUAUGGGAGGAGUUAACUGAAAGGAGGAGCAGUGAACAGGGUGUAAAGUGAGUACGUAAAAAACAGUAAAAUUGAAUAAAAGAUUCCAGUGUAGCUUUCAUCAAUACUCAGCUGGAUCUCCUCAGAAUCUAUGAAGCUGAGAGUCAACCUCUGUGCAGGAUGAAAGUCACCACACAGCCUCUGGAUAAUUUUCAGUUGGCAUAUUGUAUACACUUUUUUAGCUGAUUUCACAUUAUCUAACAACACUCCACAUAGCCCUUGAACAUCAUAAUAUCUAGUUUGCCAGCUAAAUGAUAUAUAGUUCCUAUUGGCCACAGGCUUAUCAUUAUGUGUGAGUUUCUAGAUCAUUCUUUGAGGCCCUAAUGGAUAGUGCCUGAAAACCUAUCACCCACUUCUGGCAUAAUAUUCACAGCAUUUCAUGCAAAGCCUUUGAUCUGUGAUAAAAAAUAAAGUCCAUAGCAGGAUAA